rnacentral:rRNA from 1 species
UACGUAGGUGGCAAGCGUUGUCCGGAUUUACUGGGCGUAAAGGAUGCGUAGGUGGAUAUUUAAGUCAGAUGUGAAAUACCCGAGCUUAACUUGGGUGCUGCAUUUGAAACUGGAUAUCUAGAGUGCAGGAGAGGUAAGUGGAAUUCCUAGUGUAGCGGUGAAAUGCGUAGAGAUUAGGAAGAACACCAGUGGCGAAGGCGACUUACUGGACUGUAACUGACACUGAGGCAUGAAAGCGUGGGGGAGCAAAAGGGG